rnacentral:rRNA from 1 species
UAUCUCUGUAGAGUCUGCAUAUCAAUAAGCGGAGGAAAAGAAACUAACAAGGAUUCCCUUAGUAACGGCGAGUGAAGCGGGAAGAGCUCAAAUUUGAAACCUUCAAGGUUUUACCUUGACGAAUUGUAGUUUAAAGAAGUGUUUUCUGUUGAAGUUUCGGUACAAGUUCUUUGGAAUAGGACAUCAUAGAGGGUGAGAAUCCCGUAUUUGACCGUUAUUUUCAGCUGUGUGAUACACUUUCAAAGAGUCGGAUUGUUUGGGAAUGCAGUCCAAAAUGGGUGGUAAAUUUCAUCUAAAGCUAAAUAUUGGCGAGAGACCGAUAGCGAACAAGUACCGUGAGGGAAAGAUGAAAAGAACUUUGAAAAGAGAGUUAAACAGUACGUGAAAUUGUCAAAAGGGAAGCGUUUGACACCAGUGUUGUUUUCUCGAAAAUCAAUUAAAAAUGGCGGGAUUUUGUGUUGUAUUGACUUUAUCAGCUUUCUGCACUUUUUUCCUGUCUUUUUUAAUGCACUUUUCGUUUAACAAGUCAACAUCAAUUUCUUUUGUUGUAAAAGGGUCAUUGGAAGGUGGCUUUCUUUUCGGAGAAAGUGUUUAUAGCCUUUGGCCUCUGCAAUCGGAGAGAUUGAGGUCUGCAGCGUAGAUCCUUCGGGGUUAGAUACAUUUGUGCUAAGUUAUAGCCUUUCAUAGACAACUUGUUGACUAUGAUCAGUCAUGUAGCUUACUCGCUUAUGCUAUUUUACCUACGCUUAGGAUGUUGAGUCAUCACACAUCUCU